UCCUACGGGAGGCAGCAGUGGGGAAUUUUGGACAAUGGGGGCAACCCUGAUCCAGCAAUGCCGCGUGAGUGAAGAAGGCCUUCGGGUUGUAAAGCUCUUUUGUCAGGGAAGAAACGGUGUGGGCUAAUAUCUCGUGCUAAUGACGGUACCUGAAGAAUAAGCACCGGCUAACUACGUGCCAGCAGCCGCGGUAAUACGUAGGGUGCAAGCGUUAAUCGGAAUUACUGGGCGUAAAGCGUGCGCAGGCGGUUUUGUAAGACUGUCGUGAAAUCCCCGGGCUCAACCUGGGAAUGGCGAUGGUGACUGCAAGGCUAGAGUUUGGCAGAGGGGGGUAGAAUUCCACGUGUAGCAGUGAAAUGCGUAGAUAUGUGGAGGAACACCGAUGGCGAAGGCAGCCCCCUGGGUCAAAACUGACGCUCAUGCACGAAAGCGUGGGGAGCAAACAGGAUUAGAUACCCUGGUAGUCCACGCCCUAAACGAUGUCUACUAGUUGUCGGGUUUUAAUUAACUUGGUAACGCAGCUAACGCGU
rnacentral:rRNA from 1 species